rnacentral:misc_RNA from 1 species
GAUUAUAAAGAUAAAAAAAAUUCCAAAAAAAAAAACAAAAAGAAAGUUAGGGGACUGAAUUGUAAAUAAGGAGUAAAUGGGAAGAAAUAAGUUGAAGAGAGGCAUGAAUUAAGAGAAUUUUUUUUUUAUAAGGGAUUAAGAGCAAGUUUAGGCCAAAUCAUAGCUUGGAUUAAGGAAGAAUUAGUUGUUAAGUUGGGAUUAAUGAAAUGUUGGCAAGUGGGGGUUCUUUUUUUAUAAUGUGAAAAUGGUGAUUUGGGAAGGCUUAAUUAUUAUGAAAAUAAAAAGUUUUAGCAAGUUUUUAUUAAUUGCUCUUUGCUAAUGAGUUGAAUCUUUG